GACGUAGGGCGCGAGCGUUGUCCGGAUUUAUUGGGCGUAAAGAGCUCGUAGGCGGCUCGUUGCGUCGGCUGUGAAAACCCGCAGCUCAACUGUGGGCUUGCAGCCGAUACGGGCGGGCUGGGAUUCGGUAGGGGAGACUGGAAUUCCUGGUGUAGCGGUGAAAUGCGCAGAUAUCAGGAGGAACACCGGUGGCGAAGGCGGUCUGCUGGGCAGUUGCUGACACUGAGGCGCGACAGCGUGGGGAGCAAACAGG
rnacentral:rRNA from 1 species